CUGCUGCCUCCCGUAGGAGUCUGGUCCGUGUCUCAGUACCAGUGUGGGGGGCCUUCCUCUCAGAACCCCUACGCAUCGUCGCCUCGGUGGGCCGUUACCCCGCCGACUAGCUAAUGCGCCGCAUGCCCAUCCGUGGCCGGGAUUGCUCCCUUUGGCGGCCUUGGGAUGUCCCUAGGCCGCGUUACGCGGUAUUAGACGGGGUUUCCCCCGCUUAUCCCCCUGCCACAGGCAGGUUGCAUACGUGUUACUCACCCGUGCGCCGGUCGCCGG
rnacentral:rRNA from 1 species